GACGAAGGGGCUAGCGUUGUUCGGAAUUACUGGGCGUAAAGCGCGUGUAGGCGGUUGCCCAAGUCGGGUGUGAAAGGCCUUGAGCUACAACUCAAGAAAUGCACUCGGGUACUGGGUGACUAGAGGACCGGAGAGGAUGAGUGGAAUUCCCAGUGUAGUGGUGAAAUACGUAGAGAUUGGGAAGAACACCAGUGGCGAAGGCGGCUAUCUGGACGGUUUCUGACGCUAAGACGCGAAAGCGUGGGGAGCAAACAGGG
rnacentral:rRNA from 1 species